UACGGAGGGUGCAAGCGUUAAUCGGAAUUACUGGGCGUAAAGCGCACGCAGGUGGCUGAGUCAGUCGAUUGUGAAAGCCCUGGGCUUAACCUGGGAAUUGCAGUCGAUACUACUCAGCUAGAGUAUGGGAGAGGGUAGUGGAAUUCCCGGUGUAGCGGUGAAAUGCGUAGAUAUCGGGAGGAACAUUAGUGGCGAAGGCGGCUACCUGGCCCAAUACUGACACUCAGGUGCGACAGCGUGGGGAGCAAACAGG
rnacentral:rRNA from 1 species